AGCACAUGGCUGCUGUUGCUACAUGAGAUUCGGGGAAGAGGAUGGCUGUCUGCUGUUCUGCUGUCAUCCUACCUCACUUGAAGAUCUAGCUUCAUUCAUCUGCUUUGUUACUUCUGCUGUUACCAUUUCAGAGAGUCCAGGGAUUUUCCAUAAGUCUAAGAAGAUUAAAAUGGUGAACGAGAAUUACUUUGGUAAGGCACUGGUGUGAGAGAAAUGAAAAUGAGUAGAACCUGGUCCUUCCUCACAGAAAUUACAGUAAGUCCAAGAGGGUGAGAGAUACACACAAGGUAACUACAGUGGAGUGUGGUGGCCACUACCAGGGGUGCAUGAACAGAAGGCUAUGGGAGCUAGAAAGGAAGGGAGGUAUCUACCACAUCAAGACCUAGAGCCCCAGUACUGGGAACGACUGCCAGCAGAGCAGCUGUGGAGCUGUGGUUAGGCCAGUGCAGCAACAGUCAGAGAGCAAGACAAAGCCAAGACCAGCAACCUCAGUGUUGUGGUUAACAGGUGCUGAAGCAAGUAUGAAGGAGAUGCACGAUCAAGCCACAGCUGGGUUUAAGAGGUAAGUCAUCUAUUAAAUGCAAAAGGAAAGAUCACGAGCAGGAAAUGCUGUUACUUUACUAAAGUUUAAUUUCCUCUUCUAAUUGUUAGGAUCCCAAGACUUCCUUAGUUUUGCUAAGCCUCAAUGCUUGCUUUGUGUUAUAGGUCUGAUUUGAAAAAGAAAGGACAUGUUGAGAAUCAAAUGUUUGGAAGUAAAAAAUGAACGACUCUAAGAAAGUUCUGGAAUUUUUUGGGGGAGGGGGUGGUUGGUACCGAGGAUCAAACUUGGGACCUUGCACUUGCGAGGCAGGCGGCAGAACCACUGAGCUAAAUCCCUGGCCCAAGUUCUGGAGUUUUGAUUACUGUCUCCUUAGUAACUCAUACUCAUACUCACCUGCCAUCUCAUGCUCUUCUUCCCUUGAAAAUUGCAAUGUCCCAUUAAUUUACUCAUUUGUUAAUUAGACAUACAUUAAACACCUACAGCGGGCUAAAUAUUGAGGGUAUGUAGGUGAUCAAAUGCCAUCACUGGUCUGUGAAAAGGCAACACUCAAUCUCUGUAAAAGGCAAUAAUGUGUAGGACACAUAUGGGAAGCACAGCGGAGGAACUAAUCUGCCCAAGAAAGGUAUCAUAGUAGAAGACACCCUUGAGCUUGGUCCUGAAAGAUGGGCAGGAGUUUUCCAAUGAAGAUGGUGGUAGAGAGCUUUCCAAAGAAGGCAAAGAGCCUGAGCUAAGUCACAAAGGGGCAGAAUUACAUGGCCUAUUACAGAAAGGGGACCCAUGUGAGAUGAGGAUAGAGGGGGAGGAGAUGAGCUGGAAAGGCAAUUUGAACUGCGAUUCAGAAAAGAGGUUAAACUACCUUUCAACUACAUGUUGUCCUUCAUUGUAUUGAGAACCUUAGGCCCUUCCAGCCCAGAGCCUCAGAGAUAAUGGAGUCAUCUCACCGGCCCAGCUUAGCUUCUACUUGUGGUCUCCUUGCCCUGUCAUUCCUAUGACAAGGUUUAGAAGCAGACAAAGUGCUUAUGGACUGCCACUCUGCCCUUGCUUUUUCCCCUCUUGGGAGGAAGAGUGGUCUCUAUCUCUAGUGUCCUUUCCAGUUUGGUUAUUCUGUGAUCUAAUAGUAAGCCCACUAGAGACUCCCUUCCUUGGGGUUCUGCUCCAGGCUCAAAUGAAUCUGAUAAGCACAUUAUAAAACAUGGUAGCUUUACCAUGCUACUUCUUAGGACAAUAGAUUUGACAUACAGAAGGAUUCAGUGUUUUACAGAAAUUAAUUUUUGGAUCUAGCCUGUAUGUUUGUGUAUGCAGUUGUGAAGAUGUUUUGGGGAGAGGAGAGCAGGUGCUUUUUUAUCUGAAGCCAUCACUGAUUCACAUGCCUCAGAGCAUGAUGAGCUGGCCACCUCUAACCUCAACCAUCUUAUUGGCUGCUGUGGCCAUGGUCUGUCACCUAUAGCCUGUGACAGACUGUGCUUGAAGGGGGCUUCAGUGUACAAGGUUCUUAUGUUUAAGAUAUUUGUAGUCUUUAUAUGUCUAUGGUAGUAAAUUACAGUAACAAAACAACAAGAAAAACAACAGAUUUUAUUCCUAAAGUGCCACUAUUUCUUGAAGUAUUCAUAGCUUCCCAUCAUAUCAGUUCCCAGACUGAUAUUUAAUGGUUGCACUGAACAAAUUAAAGAGAGAAAACACGAAUAAACAGGGCUUUAAGUUAUAUGAUGGUUUUGUUUCCAGAAGUGGUAGAUAAAUUACAAACAGAAGCAUCAAUGUCAUAGUCUACAAGAUGAAUCCUACCAUUCUUGACUGACUCUAGAUAAUAAUUCACAUAGCUCAUUACAGGAGAUACAGAUUUCUAACAUAUUUAUGUCCUAGGUGAGAUUCUGGAAGAUGUUAGGAUGAAGCAAGUAUUUAAUUGGUAUGGCAAGGGGACUGUAAGUUUCUUAGUGUAGGCAAAAACCUGCAUUAUGGGACUUAAAAAAGAGCUAUUUGCCUUGUAGUGUGUAGAGUCUGAACUGUUCAUGAUCUCUGGUGGCAGUGCUGGGAGGCAGAAGAGAUGAGACUAAUAAGCUCUGAUCUUGCAGAUGCAGAUGCUGUGCCAAGAACUGAUGAGAAAGCCUUUUCCAAUAGGGAACCAGGACUGGCACUCAAAUUAAAAUGUGAGAGCUUCUCUUUCUUUUUCUGCAUGACCCCUUCCCUCCUCACAAAGAAAGAGAAAAAUACUUUUUCCUUAAUUCUACUGAUCAGAGGGAGACAGAAGUUUUCUUUUAAACCACAUCAUAAGCAGGGCAGCUGGUAACUCUUGCACACCUCCCGGGGAAACUGAGCAUUGUGCUCCCAAGGCUCCCAAGGCGAUAGCUGUGCAAAGCAGGGGUGGCUGCAUUGUAUAGGGCUUCACAACAACCAUUACAGUCUAGGCUUUGGCUGUGAGGGAAUAUUUAAAACUUUUGGUUGCCAAAAGUGAUGAACUACUUUCAUGUAGUCAUGGAAAACAAUUGUUGGAGGCUGGCAGAACCAAAUCUUGAAAAUUUUGUACAUUCUUUUCUUUUCCUGAGUUCAACCCUUUGCCCCUUAUUUGACAGUUUCUAUGUACAGAACAGGUUAAGCAUUGCCUUGGGUAAAUGAAUAUGCAAACAGAGGGUACACAGAAGCAUUAUCCAUCUGUGACAUGAGCAAGGCUUUUGCAUAUUAGUACAGAUCUCAAUGAGCAGCAAGAGGGUUGUUUGUGCUUGGGUUAUGCUUGCUGUGUUCCAAAACUAAGGUGAAAUCUGGCCUCAGAUCCCUGAGGUCUAACUAAUGCAGUAAUGAACUGAGACAGCUUGUUAGGCAUCGUUUCCACCAAAUUCCCAGGCUGUUCUGUUCUGAGAAGAUAUUUUCUAAGUUGAAAAUGGCGUAAAUGUAAUGGGCCCCACUCAGAAAUAACAGAUCUUAUUGUAAAGUCAUCUAGAAAUGAAUGGAGCUGGUGAUGCCUUAAAAUAUUCCUGUUCCUAAAGUUAUAUUCAAGAGUCUUAUUGUCAAGGAAACAUGAUGGGCUUAUUGAAUACCCUGUAGAAUACUAUACAUGAAGUUCUUGCUUUAAUGCAGUUUUUCUAUUUAAUCUGAGUUGUAUAUAUGCUGUUGCAGCUUCAAAACAUCUGGGUACAGCAAUUUUUUUUUUCUAUCCUGCACCUGCAAGAGUAAGUACACACAUAAACGAAAAAGAAAUUAAAUCUUCUGCAGAACUGGGGAGAAAAAGAACUCAACCAGCCAUGAAGCUCAGGGGAGCAGUAUGACAAGUGCUGAGCUGUAAACAAGCUUGAGAGGGAUUUAAUUCUUCUGACAAGUGCCAGUGGUGGCAUUUCACAUGGACUUAGCAUAUGCACACAUUUCAGAGAGGAGCCACACAGGAUUUAAUGCAAAUAGAAGAGAAGAAAAAAAAGCUCUCAGUGCCUCAGCAGCUCCUUGUCUAUAAAUAGCCAAGCAAAUCAGGAGAAGCUAGUGUUGUAAUUAUCUUGAUUUUCAGAAUUUUUGCCACUCAGAAGAGAUUUUUAGAGUCUCCUCCCUGCUCUUCAUAAUUAUAGCGGUUGUUCCAACCUCUGCCAAGGGUUGGUGGUUGCAGUGUGAUAUUCACCAGGUGGCUGCUCUGCAGCAGAGAAAACUACCCAGUUUCCUACAUUGGUCUGGUUUUGUCAUUUAGGAUCCAAAUCAAGACUUCAGAGAGCAACCAUUCAUCAUCUUGUGACAGCUGCUUCUUCACUUUUGAUUGUACCUUCUAGACUCUGGUGCUGUGGGGCCUUUCUGCACUUGAGUGACAUGACUAAGAUACCAGAGGAGCUGUGCAGACAGUUCAAUCAGGAAAAGAGGGGAAGCCAAUCCUGUAGUAGCCCAGAAACUGGACCCCUUCCAAAUGCAGAAUACCAUGCUUGCUGAUCCAUAAUCUCUUGGCAUGUUCAAGAACUACAGUGGAGGGUGGGGCAAGGGCAGGAGAGUGAUUAUUAAGAUUAGGUAGGUGAGCUGAGAAAUUCUUUUUGCUUACCUAAUAUCCUUCUCCUACCUCAAGUGAGCACACUGUAGUUCACAAGCUAAAUCUAGCCUAUAGGCUGUUUUUAUAGUUGUGUCAGAACAUAGCCUCAAUGUGUAUCCCUUAUGGCUGCUUUCAUGUAACACCGGCAGGACCAAGCAGUUGCAACACUUUUUGGCAUAUGUACCAUCUGGAAUUUUACAGAACAGUUUUGCUGACCCAUCCCUUAUAUUUAACAGAACGUCAUGAUUAUGGCAGCCAUGUACCAGUUUUUAAAAAAUCACUUUCUUGAAGCUGGGGGCUAGCCACCGGAUCCAGUUACGUCUUAUGAAAUACAAGAGCAAGUAAGUUGGGUGAGGUUUUCAGGAAAAUGAUUGUUUUCCUCCUAAAACUGGCAUGACCAUGGCACUUUUUCUUUCCUCCUCUGUGCAUGGCUGUGGUAACACUUGUGUAGUGUUCCCACUGAUGUUCACACUGAUGUGCACUUCCCAUUGAUGUAGCAUGAUAGCUCCCUCAUGACUAUGAAGAAUAAAAGUUAUAUUUUAAGGAUAUAAGUGGGAAUGUGGAUUUUCAAUGGCUUUCUUGAGUGGUUGCUUUCAUCUUGGACUGGUUAGUCCUGAACAGAUUAUAGUCCACACAUUGAGCCACCUAACUGGAUUUGUAUAACUCGCAAGCAAAUCGAAUCCUAAGAAGGGAAUUGUGAAGACACAUGAGCUUGGCAUAGAAGUCAAGAAGGAAUUGCAGUCCCUGCUGGCUCCUUCAGAUUCCCCACCAGCACUCAUGGAGGGCAAAGGAAUCCCACCCACACCCUGGGAAGAGUGGCAGGGCCUGUCGAUUCUAAUGGGUACCCACAUACACAGGAGUCUAUGGACUCCUGCCUGAGAGUGAAGAGCCUAGAGCUUCUCUGCUAGUAACUCCCAUCUCCUGCAGACUCCACAGUCAGUGUGUGGAGGCAAUUGUAGGCCCCAGAGGACCCCCACAAGAACAUGAGCUCACUUCUGACUCAGAGGUCCCUCACUUGCCAGUGAACCUGGCUGCCAAUUCCUUCAUUGUGCUUGGGGGUUGGAAGGGAGUACUUCCUAACCCAAGAAAUGGGACAGCAUCAGACUCUGCCUGCAAGUUGGAAGAAUGAAGUCCUGAGAUUGGGUUAGCCUCAGUCUUGGAGUGGAAGAGUCAGAGGUGAUAUUGAUGUGUCUGCAUGGCAAUACACUGCCAUCAGCACAAGAAGGGAAUGAUGUGAACACCCAGGCUUUCUGGCAAAGUGGUCAUGUGUGAAGCACAUAUUCACUCUCUUGUUGGAGUAUUUGAAUUGAGCUCCUGUCAGAUAUUUCCUCUGACUUUUUCUUCUAUUUGCUUUGAUCUAGUUGGUAUCUAUGUUCUAUCCCUCUUCUCAUCUCCCUCACUAGUUUCUUUUCCUCAGUCUCCCAUAGCAAUAUCAUUAUUUUAUUUCUUAUUUCUUUUUCCCACUUUUUUUUUUUUGUUGUUGUUACCAGGGAUUGAACUCAG
ensembl:lncRNA